CGUAUUCGAAAAACUAAUUCGCUAUCUGUAUCCGUAUCCGGUAUCCGGCGGAUUUUAAAAAUAUUAUCCGUAUCCGGUAUUCGGAAAAAUAUUCGAAUACGGAUAAUAUCCGUUACCAUUUAUUUUAUCCGAAUAGACAAAUUAUUCGGAUAUCCGAAUAUCCGAAUUCGUUUAUCAGUAACCUAAUAUAAAAUUCAUUCAAAA
rnacentral:lncRNA from 1 species